rnacentral:rRNA from 1 species
AUUCCAGCUCCAAUAGCGUAUAUUUAAGUUGUUGCAGUUAAAAAGCUCGUAGUUGGAUCUUGGGUCGUAAGGGUCGGUCCGCCUACUCGGUGUGCACCUGCCCUUCCGUCCCUUUUGUCGGCGGCGUGCUCCUGGCCUUAAUUGGCUGGGUCGCGGUUCCGGCGCUGUUACUUUGAAAAAAUUAGAGUGCUCAAAGCAAGCUUAUGCUCUGAAUACAUUAGCAUGGAAUAACGUGAUAGGAGUCUGGUCCUAUUGUGUUGGCCUUCAGGACCGGAGUAAUGAUUAAUAGGGACUGUCGGGGGCAUUCGUAUUUCAUUGUCAGAGGUGAAAUUCUUGGAUUUAUGAAAGACGGACCACUGCGAAAGCAUUUGCCAAGGAUGUUUUCAUUG